GUCCUUGUCGAUUAGUGGUUAGAUCAUCACGUUGUGGAUUUCUUAAACCGUGAAGACGGAGGCUCGAAUCCUCCCUGGGACA
rnacentral:tRNA from 1 species